UACGGGGGGAGCAAGCGUUGUUCGGAUUUACUGGGCGUAAAGGGCGCGUAGGCGGCCACCGCAAGUCGACUGUGAAAUCUCCGGGCUUAACCCGGAAAGGUCAGCCGAUACUGCGGGGCUAGAGUGCAGAAGGGGCAACUGGAAUUCUCGGUGUAGCGGUGAAAUGCGUAGAUAUCGAGAGGAACACCUGCGGCGAAGGCGGGUUGCUGGGCUGACACUGACGCUGAUGCGCGAAAGCUAGGGGAGCGAUCGGG
rnacentral:rRNA from 1 species